AAACACAAAAUAAUGUUUCACUAAAACAAAUCAUUUUCAUCUAAAAUACACUUCAGACAUUAAAAAAUUCACCCGCAUUUUAUAUAAAUACAAAACGUAAGAACAUUUUGGCCUAAUUCUUGAAUAUAGACAAUUUUUAAAUUUUCCAAGCUAUAAUUCCGAUGCUUUCCGAUUGGUAAGACAGCUUGUGACAGAUGGAAUAUUUGUGGUUUUCUUGAUGAAAAUUUCAUCAUUCUUGCUGUGGAUAUUGUAAAACGUGUUUUUGUGAAAAUAUCGUAAAAGAUGGAAGAAUAUGCCAGGGAACCAUG